UUUGAGUCUUGUAAACCUGGUUUCUACAUAUUUCAAAUUAAAUACUACGAGUUGUUGCAAAUACCCAUUAUUAUUUUAUAUUGUGUCAUGAAAUGAUAAAUAGAAAUAUAACCCCAGAGAAAUGUCACAAAGGAUUGAAUACUCAAAUACAACCAAUUGAUAGAAAUAUGAAUUCAUAUUUUGAAGUUAUGACACCACCUCUAAAUAACAAAAGAAAACAGACAAAAUGUAACAAAAGAACUACUAAAUACACAAAAUGACACUCUUUGUGAACAUAUAAAUUAUUAAUUUUUAAUAAAUUUACUUUAACAGAAAAAUAUUAGUAUUUACUACAAUGAAAAUAAAUUGAAAUAAUGUACUUAUAAUAUGAUAGACUAAGGGUUUAACUGGUGACAAUUUUAGGAACAUCAUGAAAAAAUAUGAAAAGAAUAAAGAAGAAUAAAAUUAUAGGAAUUAAUAGAAAUUAUUGCUCCUUUCUAAAUUUAGUAAGAAAUAAUUUUGUUAUAUUAUUUUUUACAGAAAAAAUAAUAAGAAGAAUAUUAGUAAAAAAAUAUUCCUCGUAAAUUAUGUAAUUUUAUAAGAAUGAUAAGGAAUUGAAUUAUUUCUUGUAAUUGGUGAAUGUUCAUUUUCGUUUUCUUGGUCACCAUCUAGCUCUUUCAUUCAUAGGAUUCAAAUAGGAUCGGGUUUGUAUCAUAUAUGGCUGGGCCGGGCCAAAAUUGUUUAGUUAACAUCCCUGGAUGUGCUUAUUGUUAUGAUUAGGCUGGAAACAAAGCAAAAGAGGAAGGAUUUUCAUUUGUUGGGCAGAAGAGAUUUUCAUUUGAUUUGAUUUAUUUGGAUCAAUAGUGAAUCCAAGUGGGUCACUUCUGAAAUUCGUUUGGCCCAACUCUGAAACCCUUUUCCAGCUGUCGAAUUGGUGGCUUCUCCUUUUCAGAGUUUUCUCAAAAACAUUCGUUCCUUGAUAAUUUUCCUAUCCAAAUCAUAAAAUCAUUUUAAUGGAUGACUUUUCUUGCACUUUCACUUUACAAAUUACAACAUGCAUCUCAACUUGACUCCACAUUAUUGCCAUGCAUAAUAAUCAAAUCUCAUCAUUAUCAAAAUUUUAUCAUUACUGUCUACUUCAUCUGAACGAGUAUUCUAUACUGAGAGUUACCAAAAAAGUGUUAACUAAAUAGUUAACCC
rnacentral:lncRNA from 1 species